rnacentral:rRNA from 1 species
UACGGAGGGGGCUAGCGUUGUUCGGAAUUACUGGGCGUAAAGCGUACGUAGGCGGCUUUGUAAGUUAGAGGUGAAAGCCCGGGGCUCAACUCCGGAAUUGCCUUUAAGACUGCAUCGCUUGAAUCAUGGAGAGGUGAGUGGAAUUCCGAGUGUAGAGGUGAAAUUCGUAGAUAUUCGGAAGAACACCAGUGGCGAAGGCGGCUCACUGGCCCGGUACUGACGCUGAGGCGCGAAAGCGUGGGGAGCAAACAGG